GAUGAACGCUAGCGGCAGGCUUAAUACAUGCAAGUCGAACGGUAAGGUUUCUUCGGAGACACACGAGUGGCGCACGGGUGCGUAACGCGUAUGCAACCUACCUAUAACUGGGGAAUAGCCCCGAGAAAUCGGGAUUAAUACUCCAUAACAUCCUUUGGAUGCAUAUCUGAGGGAUUAAAGCUCCGGCGGUUAUAGAUGGGCAUGGGUGGCAUUAGCUAGUUGGUGAGGUAACGGCUCACCAAGGCGACGAUGCCUAGGGGUCCUGAGAGGGUUAACCCCCACACUGGUACUGAGACACGGACCAGACUCCUACGGGAGGCAGCAGUGGGGAAUUUUGCGCAAUGGGCGAAAGCCUGACGCAGCAACGCCGCGUGAGUGAUGAAGGCUUUCGGGUCGUAAAGCUCUGUCAGAGGGAAAGAAGUGUAUUGUGGCUAAUAUCCACGAUACUUGACGGUACCCUCAAAGGAAGCACCGGCUAACUCCGUGCCAGCCGCCGCGGUAAUAC
rnacentral:rRNA from 1 species